rnacentral:rRNA from 1 species
AUUGAACGCUGGCGGCAUGCUUUACACAUGCAAGUCGAACGGCAGCGCGGGCUUCGGCCUGGCGGCGAGUGGCGAACGGGUGAGUAAUGCAUCGGAACGUGCCCAGUAGUGGGGGAUAGCCCGGCGAAAGCCGGAUUAAUACCGCAUACGACCUGAGGGUGAAAGCGGGGGACCGAAAGGCCUCGCGCUAUUGGAGCGGCCGAUGUCGGAUUAGCUAGUUGGUGGGGUAAAGGCUUACCAAGGCGACGAUCCGUAGCUGGUCUGAGAGGACGACCAGCCACACUGGGACUGAGACACGGCCCAGACUCCUACGGGAGGCAGCAGUGGGGAAUUUUGGACAAUGGGGGCAACCCUGAUCCAGCCAUGCCGCGUGCGGAAGAAGGCCUUCGGGUUGUAAACCGCUUUUGUUCGGGAAGAAAUCCUCUGGGCUAAUACCCCGGGGGGAUGACGGUACCGGAAGAAUAAGCACCGGCUAACUACGUG